UGGCUCAGCGGUUAAGAGCACUGGGCUCUCUUCCAGAGAUCCUGGGUUCAGUUCCCAG
rnacentral:tRNA from 1 species